CUGAGCAUCGACCUGCCUUUCCCUCCCCUCCAUCAGUGAAGGAAUCUGCCCUGCCCUCUGGGUCAAAGUUAUAGCACCCAUGCUUGCAUCUCCUGGACCUUGUUCCCUGCUUCAUCUUUAUCCAUAGCACUUACCACUAUUUGCAAAUUAUAUACAGUUUUUUUUGUUGUUGUUUGUUUGUUUGUUUGUUUUAAGAUGGAGUCUUGUUCUAUUGCCCAGGCUGGAGUGCAUGAGACUCCAUCUCAAAGAAAAGAAAACAGUAACCAAAUUCAUCACCCCCUGCCUUUUCCCAAAGGCUUCUUCUCCUGUUCCAUUACAAAAGUGCAUGCCUGACCAAUGCAGGCGUUCAUGAGUGUCCAGAAGGUUCCCCAACUCAUAUUCCAAUCAUCCCAGCGGUAAAGCAUCUCAAAAGACCUGCUUGGUGUCUUUCUUUCUUUCUUUCUUUUCUUUCUUUCUUUCUUUCUUUCUUUCUUUCUUUCUUUCUUUCUUUCUUUUCUUUCUUUCUUUUCUUUCUUUCUUUCUUUCUUUCUUUUCUUUCCUUUUCUUUCUUUUCUUUCUUUCUUUCUUUCUUUCUUUCUUUCUUUCUUUCUUUCUUUCUUUCUUUCUUUCUUUUUUGAGACAGUCUCUCUCUGCUGCUUAGGCUGCAGUGCAAUGGUAUAAUCAUGGCUCACUGCAGCCUCAACCUCUGGGCUCAAGCAAACCUCCCACCUAAGCCCCCUGAGUAGCUAGGACUACAGGCGUGCACUACUACACUCAGCUAACUUUAAAAAUUUUUUUGUAGAGAUAGGGUUUCACUGUGUUGCCCAGGCUGGUCUCAUGGGCUCCAGCCACUGCAUCCAGCCGACCUGCCUGGUUUAUAACUCACAUUUUAACUCACAUUUACUCCAAGACCAACUUGCCCUGAAGCCUUGAGGUUACCCCCUACAGGACUGCACCUGAAUUAACCUGUGCUCAGUGGUCUUUGCAGUCCUGAUAUGAAGAGUAUUGUAUUAGUCCAUUCUCACACUGCUAAAAGGACAUACCCGAGACUGGGUAAUUUAUAAAGAAAAGAAGUUUAAUUGACUCACGGUUCUGCAGGGCUGGGGAGGCCUCAGGAAACUUACAAUCAUGGUUGAAGGUGAAGCAAACACGUCCUUCUUCACAUAAUGGCAGGAACAAGAAGAAUAAGUGCCCAGCAAAGGAGGAAGCCUCUUAUAAAACCAUCAGAUCUCAUGAGCACUCACUAUCACAAGAACAGGAUGGGGAAAACUGCCCCUGAUUCACUUACCUCCACCUAGUCCCUCUCAUGAUGCAUGGGGAUUAAGGGAACUACAAUUCAAGAUGAGAUUUGGGUGGGGACGUGGCCAAACCAUAAGUACAGACCCUUAGAGGCAAAAAGGACAGUUUGCUGCUUUCUCAGAGGGCACACCGCUGUUCUCAGCUCUUUCCCUACAACAAACGACCUUCUCUGUGACCCUCCAGAGCAGGACAUGAAGCCAUAGUGAGGGGCAGUAUGACCAGCAGCUUGGGAACUGAAGGGGAAGAGACUUUUUCUCUAGGUUCUAUGGCUGGGACCUGUGAAUUGAACUGAUAAAAGAUUAACAGUAGAAAACGCAUACGAAUAAUUAUUUGAUGUUAACAUUUUUACACGGCAUAGGGUAGGGAGAGGGGCUUUAUAGAAAGACGUGAAAACCACAAGGAAGCGGUUAAAUAUACCAUUUUAACAAAGAGAAGUAAAUUGUGGAGAUUGGACAAGACAAAGGAAAAGAGGGUUUGGGCUAGGGGCAGAAAAUUGUGGGAAAGUGACUAGGAAAUAUAUGAGGGAAACCCACGGAAGAUAAGAGUUAUUCUAGUAAGGUUUGUUUGUACAGACUCAUCUCAGCAUCUGCUCCCUAACUCCAAUGAUAAGAAUGUUCUCCUCUUCCCGGUACGGGGAGGCCAUCUUUCUCAUGGAGAAUUUAUGCCUUGCUUUUAGGUAAAAAGGGGCAGGACAGAGAGCCCUACCGCACAACUGCUGUUUCUCAACUGCCUUCAGCUCAAAAUAAUCAAUGUGUCAAAGAGACAUAUUUUGGGGUGGAAUGUUCUGAUCCCCAUUGGAACUGUGAAGCAAGUACUGUCAGGUGGUGUGGGGGCAGACUUUCACAUGUCAAGAGUGAUGAGUGAAAUAUAAGAAAGAAACUAGGCUGGGUGUGGUGGCUCAUGCCUGUAAUCCCAGCACUAUGGGAGGCCGAGGUGGGUGGAUCACGAGGUCAGGAGUUCAAGACCAGCCUGGCCAAGAUGGUGAAACCCCUGUCUCUGCUAAAAAUACAAACAUUAGCCGGACGCAGUGGCAGGUGCCUGUAAUCCCAGCUACUUGGGAGGCUGAGGCAGGAGAAUUGCUUGAACUCGGGGGUCAGAGGUUGCAGUGAGCCGAGAUCGCGCCACUGCACUCCAGCACUCCAACCUCGGC
rnacentral:lncRNA from 1 species